UCUAAGUUUGAUGGCGACCGGCGCACGGGUGAGUAACACGUAUCCAACCUGCCGAUGACUCGGGGAUAGCCUUUCGAAAGAAAGAUUAAUACCCGAUGGCAUAGUUCUUCCGCAUGGUAGAACUAUUAAAGAAUUUCGGUCAUCGAUGGGGAUGCGUUCCAUUAGGUUGUUGGCGGGGUAACGGCCCACCAAGCCUUCGAUGGAUAGGGGUUCUGAGAGGAAGGUCCCCCCACAUUGGAACUGAGACACGGUCCAAACUCCUACGGGAGGCAGCAUG
rnacentral:rRNA from 1 species